rnacentral:tRNA from 1 species
GGGGAGAUAGCUCAAUUGGUCAGAGCAUCGGUCUCAUAAACCGAGGGUUCUGGGUUCAAGUCCCAGUCUUCCUACCA